CUGAAAUCAAGGCUGGGCUCCUAUCUGAAGGCUCUGGAGAAGAGUCUGCCUCCAAACUCAGAUGGAUUGUUGGCAGAAUUCAGUUCCUGGUGGUUGUUGCCAGCGGUUGUUUUCAGAAACUAGAAGCAGCUCUCCAGUCCUUGCACGUGUUCCCCUCCAUCUUCAGGUUUGUAUUUUGUAGAAAUGAGAAACUGAUUACAUCUGCUUAUUUGGACAGUGAAUGGAACCACAUAUUCUGCCUGUUGGCAAACACCAAAUCUGUAUAGUUUAUUUUCUUCAAAGGGAAUCAUGAUUGCCAACAAUCACUCAGCACCAACAAUUUACUGAAUGUUUAUCUGCCUGCAUUCUUCUUGUGGCUGGAAAUGUAGCAGUGAACCAGACCGAGACCCUGAUCCGCUGGGUAUAUAGCUGGGGGAGUCAGACAUUCAUGAAAAUGACUUCUAGUGCCACAGAUAUUUCAAAAGAUGCAGUAAAGAGUUCUGUGGGUCUGAAUGAUAUGGUGUGCUAACCAAAUAUGUGAAGGUGGCGAAGGUCUCCUAGAAGAAUUGGUGCAAAACUUGAGUCUCAAAGGAUGAGCUGGGUGAGGAGUUGGGCACAGUAUUCUGGGCAGUGGGAACAUCAUGGACAGAAGCCUGAAUGCAGCGGAGAGACUGACUCACUUGUGGGCAUGAAGGAGAUCAGCAUGACUGGAUUGGAGCUCACUUCCUGGUGUUUUCACCUCAUUGCAUCCCUGGUUGGUUUCUGUUGCUUGCAAUGAAAGAACCCUUACAAAUGCAAUAAUGCAGAAGUAACAAUGAAGAUGACACUGAUUCACACAAGAUUUAAUUUGUUACAUGAGUAAAUAAACAAAGCAAAAUGAACAGAAUUUACUAUACUGCAUCCCUGCUGGGAGUAUGUUGAGCUAUCUGGCCUGGAAGGCCUUUGUGACCUGUUGAAAGAAUAUACAUGGAUUUACUUCAGGAGAAAAAUAAAGUGUUAUUUUAAAAAUGGAUCAUGUUCAUUGUAAUUAAGAAU
rnacentral:lncRNA from 1 species